rnacentral:rRNA from 1 species
UGCCACAGCCAUAUCAUCCUGCAGCCCAAGAGUGGUUACUCACUGAAGCUAAGCAGGGCUGAGCUUGGUUAGUACCUGGAUGGGAGAUCACAUGGGAAAACUAGGUUGCUGUUGGAA